UAUUGGAUGUGGAAGAGACAGAGGGUAGAUCUGGAGUUUAAAAAAAUAAAUAAAUAAAACAAAAGCAUAAAAGUGUUAUUUUUCUUGUGUGUUCAGCCUUGCUUUUCUUUCUAAGCAGAGUAAGUUUGUCACCUUUCUGGAUAGAUAGAAUUGAUAGGAGCUAGAAAUUGAAAGCAAAGAUGGCUAUUAUACCAGUAUGGGUUCAGAACAUCACCAAAUCAAGGACAGGGUGAGGGAGUGUGCCAUGGAGCCAGCUGAGAGCCACAGCCUCAUGACUGGAGGCCUGAGCAUGUCAGGAUUCCCUGUGCCUCACUCAGUCCUCACUCACCUCACAAGAUGAGGACUUGCUCUGGCUUGUGGAGAGUAGAGCAUUGAUCACUGUGAUCACUAGGAGGCGCAGUGAUGAGGGGUCAGGACUAAUUCAAUGAUGUGGGCAGAUGGUCUGUUACCCUGCAAGUUGGGUGUGGUAUCAGAGAAGGAAGAGUGGGUGAACAUAAUCAGGACUGACAGUUUCUCAGAGCCAAACUCUAAGUACAGCCUUGGGCAAGUGGGCCCAUCAUACUGAGCUUUGGCUUCUUUAUCUGUCAUUGAUGAUAAAAUUCAGACCUAACAUUGAUGUUGUUUAAGUUAGAUGCUGAGACAGCUGCCUAGCUAUUGAAAAGAGAUCAAUAUUAUUGCUUAUUACAGUGUAGACCCAGGGCCUUCACUGGGAAUAACAACAAUAACGAUUGUGUUAGCAGCAAUAAUAGUAAACAAAGGAAUCGUUGUUAGGUUUUUCCCAUCUUUUCUUUCAGUCAGGUCCAAGUUUAGGAGUGCACAGGACUGGGCCUGGAGACAGCUGUAGCUGAUUCAGAUUCACAGUUGCUUAGCUGGCCCCUCUGGAGAAACAGUGAAAGCCACUUUUGGCUACUUAGGUCCAAGGCAUGCAUAGGUAGGAUAGCCUCUACUAGUCACAUGCAUGGUGGUGGCUGUCUUGGGUUGAAUCAUUGUCCCUUGCACUGCAGCUCAAGGCUUUUCUUAGGAUUAAAUCAGGGAGAACUUAGGGGGAUUUGACCAAGAAGAGACUUUUAUGAGAUGUGCAGCAAAUCCCCACUGUGACAGGCGGCUUUGUUAUGAAUACCUUCUUUAUAAACAGUCCUGGAAAUGCCUGAGUCACUUUUUCUACAGGAGGCCACACAGCAUGGUAAUUCACUUUAUGUUGCCUUCCCUUCUGGAGUUAAAAUUCCAUGUAAAGAAUAAAGUAGAUCCUAUGACAUCUGUACUCUUAAAAUUGAACUGUGUGGACUGGAGUUUUGUUUUGUUAUUUUUUGUUAAUUUUUUUGGUUUCUGAGCCUGUUUUGUUUGCAAGAGGAGUAUGUAUUCUACAGGACUGUGACUAGCUAUUCUGAAUUUGGGUGGAGGGAAGCAUGUUCCAAUAUUCCAUUCUUUCAGUAAGUAAACUUUUUUAUAACCCAAAUUUAAAAACUAUGUACAAAUUACAGAAGCUGACAGAAAAGUCUCUUACACGUAGAAAUAUGGAUAAGAGUAGACACAGGAGGGGAUAAUAGGUGUGUAUGCUGAGUGCUUACAGCAGCUGGCCUGCCCUAGGCCACCCAAUACUCUUCCAGAUUCCCCCAUCACACCCUUCACUCCAACACCUACCCUGUGCUUAUGUUAAGACUCCCACUUUGCAACAAACUUAUCAGACAGGGCUUUUACACAGUUUGGGGAGGGCUUGGAUCACAGACAAAAGAAACAGAGCAUGGGGGAUCUUUUAUUUUUUUCUUCAAGUUGGACAGAUUGCUACUAUGCUUAGC
rnacentral:lncRNA from 1 species